CUCAUGACAACAGAGGAAAGAGCAGAUCAUGGCACCAAAUCCUGCCCUGAAGCUGAGCAGGGCUCAAGGAGUGGCCCCGUGUGGAGAAGCAGAUGGAGCUCUGCAAACUAUCAGCAUGCUGGAUUUUAUGGAGCAUUUCUGGAGCUGAGGGACAACUGUCUGGGAAUUUCCAGCGUGCAGGUGGUAAAACACUGACUGCCAUGAACUUCAUCAGGAAAAAACAAAAAAAAAAAAAAAAAAAGAGGAAAAAGC